GUAGGUGGCAAGCGUUGUCCGGAAUUAUUGGGCGUAAAGCGCGCGCAGGCGGUUCUUUAAGUCUGAUGUGAAAGCCCACGGCUCAACCGUGGAGGGUCAUUGGAAACUGGAGAACUUGAGUACAGAAGAGGAAAGCGGAAUUCCACGUGUAGCGGUGAAAUGCGUAGAGAUGUGGAGGAACACCAGUGGCGAAGGCGGCUUUUCUGGUCUGUAACUGACGCUUGAGGCGCGAAAGCGUGGGGAGCAAACAGGGAUUAGAUACCCUGGUAGUCCACGCCGUAAACGAUGAGUGCUAAGUGUUAGGGGGUUUCCGCCCCCUUAGUGCUGCAGCUAACGCAUUAAGCACUCCGCCUGGGGAGUACGGCCGCAAGGCUG
rnacentral:rRNA from 1 species